UACAGAGGUCUCAAGCGUUGUUCGGAUUCAUUGGGCGUAAAGCGUGCGUAGACGGUUACAUAAGUCGGGUGUGAAAGCCCCGGGCUCAACCUGGGAAUUGCAUUCGAGACUGCGUAGCUAGGGUGCGGAAGAGGGAAGCGGAAUUUCCGGUGUAGCGGUGAAAUGCGUAGAUAUCGGAAGGAACACCAGUGGCGAAAGCGGCUUCCUGGUCCAGCACCGACGUUCAGGCACGAAAGCGUGGGGAGCAAACAGG
rnacentral:rRNA from 1 species